rnacentral:rRNA from 1 species
AUUGAACGCUGGCGGCAUGCUUUACACAUGCAAGUCGAGCGGCAGCGCGGGGGCAACCCUGGCGGCGAGCGGCGAACGGGUGAGUAAUGCAUCGGAGCGUAUCCUCGAGUGGGGGAUAACCCAGCGAAAGUUGGGCUAAUACCGCAUGAGCUCUGAGGAGGAAAGCGGGGGACCUGCGAGGGCCUCGCGCUGGAGGAGCGGCCGAUGUCCGAUUAGCUAGUUGGUGGGGUAAAGGCUUACCAAGGCGACGAUCGGUAGCUGGUCUGAGAGGAUGAUCAGCCACACUGGGACUGAGACACGGCCCAGACUCCUACGGGAGGCAGCAGUGGGGAAUUUUGGACAAUGGGGGCAACCCUGAUCCAGCCAUGCCGCGUGAGUGAAGAAGGCCUUCGGGUUGUAAAGCUCUUUCGGACGGAACGAAAUGGGCGGGACUAAUACUCCUGUCUGAUGACGGUACCGUAAGAAGAAGCACCGGCUAACUACGUG